CCCAUUCUUUCUUUUAGUCCUUUGAGGCGCCUCCCAUUGUCAAAGGGGACUCGAAGAUGGCUUUGAUGUGGGUGGUGGUAGGCCCUCUGCUUGAAAGAGAGCAACCUUAGUUCAAGUCUGCAAUGAUCUUGCUUCUAGUCUCUGAUGGGCUUGUAAUAAGGAGGCUAAAUCCUUGGGGGAUCUUCUUGCUAAAGAGGUUGUGGCAAUCUGUUUAUAUUGGUUCAGAAGUCCCCACUUUAAUAAGUUUGUUGGUUACUAAUUGUGGAAUAUACUGGUGAGAUCUACCGCCUAAAUUUUGACAAAAAUAAAGGAGUGCUACUAUACUAGCCAAAACCUCGGAAUCUACGGAAGGCUAGAAAACGUUGAAUCAAAUAACCUGGGGGUUAACACUGCUGAGUUCGAUAAAGUAACUCCAAUUUAGGUCUAGUGUUCCAAAGAUCUGAGCAAGGGUCACGAUUAUGGAGAAGGAAGGUGUUAGGUACCUUCUCCGCCCAUGUAUAUGUGUGUCCUCUACUUAGUGGGAUUCAAUAUUUCUAGGACUAGAGCUCUAGGAAAAAAAUCCUCCACUUAAAUAAUAAAAAUAAGGAAAAUACUGUCAGCAAGCAAUGGGUGGUGUAGAGAGGAUGGAAAUGUAGCACGUAAAUGAAUGAAAACUCUCUCUAGGAGUGCUCCGUAAAUCUUAUGGAGGGCCUUGGUUCUUAGAGAUGCGAGUAGGAAAGUAUAACUCUCUAAGUUUUCUGCUAGUUUGGUAGUCAUUCUCAAGACCCAUGAGGUUGAGGCGCACACCCAUUGCUGAUUGCCCUAAAGAAGAUUGGAGGGGUUUUAGAUCCUUGAUUCCUUUCUCUUUUCUUAUUGCCCUCCUCAUAAGUUACUCUCUAGGGGAAUUGGGGUUCUCUAAGUCCUUUCCUAGAAGCAAGGGGAGAGAGGGAGGGAAUAAAAAGUGAGAAUCCAAAGGCCCCUUGCAAUGAGGCAAAGAGGCUUAUUUAUAGUGUUGGGGUGGCCUUUUGGUAAUUCGUAGAAGGUUUGAAGGGUAAAGACAAACAGUGGACACGUGGCACAACACCAUAGGAUCUCGGAAUUUUUUCUUACCCUUUGGUAAUUUUAGGAAGUUUGGAGGGUAGGAAUCUAUGGGGAGACAUGGAAUUUUCUGAUGAAAUUAGUAAUAGUAAUAAAAAGGCUAUGGCUGAUAGGGGACAAAAGUAAAAAAAAAAAGGGCGGAAUACUGGAAAUGGCAAAAUUGCACCACCAUCUAGUGGAAGUCUCUGCCAAAUGUUGACAGCUGUCUGCUGACACAUGGCAGUGGAAAUCAGAUUUUUGCCACCACUCAUUCGUGGAAAAAUGAGAUCAAGUCGGUCCCCACACCUUUUAUUGUGUUGCAAUCGAUUUUUUGAAGCUGUUCAGCCUCAAAUUGAGCUAGUGUUGGGUCUGGUUCUCCAGGAUCCUUGUGAAUUAGGAGUUAGGGAGUGGGCCCUCCUGAUCUGAUCCAAUUGGAUGACUUUGGUGAACCCUAGACUUAGGCUGGGUGUCUACACCUGUGAAAAAUGGUUAGUCAUUUGUAAUAGUUUGUUUCCCAUAUGGGGGAUUAAAGUGGAGCUAGAUCACAUAUGUACAUAUAGCUUACUAGUUUAUUAAUGUUAAUAGAUGAGCUUAUGGUUUUAAUAAGCCUUGAACUCAGCAAGACACUGGGAAACCCACCUAUGAUGUUGGGAUGUAUGAUGGGUGUUGUUGAAGAGUCUUCCAUGGAAAUAGUGCUGGAUAACUUUGCUUUGGUUUACUGUGCAUCAUCAGGCUAAAUUGCUCUGGCAUGAUUGCAGACUGGUUUAGACUGUAACUGCCUUCCAUUGGCAGUAACGCAGCAGAGGAACAUACUGUUUAUUUAUUUAAUGAUCAAUAAUGCACAGUUGGUUAUGAUUUAUUUACACAGCUGUGCAACUGGGAAGGCUGUGAUCAAUAAGUUGCUGUGCAUGGUGGGUGAUAAUCAGUUCCAUUUGUACUAUGCCUCACAGACUGAUUUCGAGUUUGUGAGGAAAGAUGAUGGGAUGUCUACUGGUUGCAGUGGACUGAUUGCCUACAGUCUGGUUGUAUGCAACUGUCCCCUUCUUACCCCUUCGGAAUUUUGGUUUCACAGACACACAUGCACACCAUGCAUAUGCCUGUACAUGCAUACAUGUGCGUGCAUGUGUAUUUAAGGAGGUCUCACACAACGAAUUGCAAGAGCAGAAUGUUUGUAACAAAGUUGCAGAUUAGCUUCCUUACAGCAGGUUGAGGGGAUCACUUCUCAUUGGUUUCACUUCAAUAAAAUGAUGCAUACAUGGAGUAAAUGCUUAUUUUCUGUAAGGUCCCUUCAGAUAUAUUAUAGUGACCUUAAAAGGAUAAGGAGAUUGCAUUACUGUUGUUGCUGUCGUGGAAACAUCUAGCCGCGAGAAGUGAUAGGAAGUGGCAGCUGGUUUGGGUGCAGGGAACAAGCAAAAAAUGUGAAAUACUGUGGAACUUUUUUCACAUGUGACCUUAAAGAAAAAAUGUGAGCAAGAUAUGGUAGCAACAGAGGAUGAGCAAUAGUGCACCGCCCACCUUUUAAGCCCCUUUGUUUUGUAAAGAUCUCUAGCUUGAUCACUGUUUAGUUCAAAUGAAAACUGUCUAUU